rnacentral:rRNA from 1 species
GACGAACGCUGGCGGCGUGCCUAAUACAUGCAAGUCGAACGCAGUGGGGAUGGGUGAGUAACACGUGGGUAACCUCCCAUCAGAGGGGAUAACACUUGGACACAGGUGCCAAACCGUUACCGAUGGAAGGACCCGGGGUGCAUUAGCUAGUUGGUGAGGUAACGGCUCACCAAGGCCAGGAUGCAUAGCGGACCGGGGAGGGUGAUCGGCCACACUGGGACUGGGACACGGCCCGGACUCCUACGGGAGGCAGCAGUAGGGAAUCUUCGGCAAUGGACGAAAGUCUGACCGAGCAAGGCCGCGUGAGUGAGGAAGGUUUUCGGUUCGUAAAACUCUGUUGUUAGAGAAGCGGUAUCUAACCAGAAAGCCACGGCUAACUACGUGCCAGCAGCCGCGGUAAUUC